UGGGGAAUCUUGCGCAAUGCGCGAAAGCGUGACGCAGCAACGCCGCGUGGGGGAAGAAGGCCUUCGGGUUGUAAACCCCUUUCAGUUGGGACGAAGCUUCGCCGGUGAACAGCCGGCUGGAGUGACGGUACCUUCACAAGAAGCCCCGGCUAACUACGUGCCAGCAGCCGCGGUAAUACGUAGGGGGCUAGCGUUGUCCGGAAUCAUUGGGCGUAAAGCGCGUGUAGGCGGCCCGGUAAGUCCGCUGUGAAAGUCGGGGGCUCAACCCUCGGAUGCCGGUGGAUACUGUCGGGCUUGAGUACGGAAGAGGCGAGUGGAAUUCCUGGUGUAGCGGUGAAAUGCGCAGAUAUCAGGAGGAACACCGAUUGCGAAGGCAGCUCGCUGGGACGUUACUGACGCUGAGACGCGAAAGCGUGGGGAGCAAACAGG
rnacentral:rRNA from 1 species